UCAGCCAAGGACAACAAAAUCCAAUAAAAAAAUAAAUAAAUAAAAAAAGUCCCACUGAGAUGCCGGUCCCUGAAUAGGGUCCAAAGUGGUAGACAAAAAAUUAAAGGAUAAGUGUCUUGAAACCUCUUUCUUGAAGGAUAGCAAGUGAUAGCAAGAGACGCAACAUUGUGGCAAUGAGAAAGUGCGUUACCCUACUUGACUGUUUGUCACUCCAGCAGCAGGAACAUUUGUGAUUUAAGGGCUCACAGGACACUGCUACAUGAAACGAGCAUCACUCCCUCUCUCUUCUCUGCCUUGGGAGGUGCUGUUGGCUAACAACAUAACAUCAGCAUUUGCAUCAGCACCACAUGAUCAGUAUGGUGAUAUUUGUUCAGACAAACAACAGGGAAUGUCCUGUACAAAAUAAACAAAGGAGAACUUCUGUGAUAUUUAACAAA